UACUGGAGUGGGUUGCCAUUUCCUUCUCCAUGUUUGGGUUUUUUAAAAUUUCUUUGAAAAGAAGAAACUUUGAAAAGAAGUAACUAUGUUAACAUAUUUUAUUCUUGAUUUUAUUGAGUUGCUUUUCUGAGUCUUUUUGUAAUUCACUGAGUUUCUUCAUAACUGCUAUUCUGAAUUCUUUGUCAGUUAGAUCACAAUAUUCUGUGCCUUUGAGCAUGGCUGCUGGAGAACUGUCAUUUUCUUUCUGUGAUGCCAUAUUUCCUGAUUUCAUAUUCCUGGUACUUAUGCUCUGGUGCUUUUGCAUUUGAAGUAGCAGAUAUCUCCUUAACUCAGUGCUCAUUACCUUUAGCAGCAGACAGGGUAUUAUGUUAUAUAGUAUUGGUAUCAUCUCAGUUUUUCCUGUAUGUUUGUGCUCCACUCUUCUUGCUCUGUCUUGUGGCCAAAUUUUUAAGCUUUUGUAUAUUCUCUGAUUUUUACAAUUCACCAGGCUGGCUGGAUACCUUUUUUCCCAGAAGGUGGAGCUAUAGCUCAAAUCUGUGGUUUCUUCCUUGCCUGCCAACAUGACCUAUUUUGAGUAGGAUCCUGGUCUACCAGAGUUCACUUUCAUGGAUACACCAGGGAGCCUGCACAGGGAGCUGGCAUCAGAGCUGAGGGAAGGUGUGGGUUUAACACUUAGCGUGUUGGGACUGCCACACACCUGCAGGGGAAUUUUCAGGUACUCGCGCAUGAACUUUCUACUGAGCACGUGUCUUUGACAUCAUUUGAAAUUCUUAUCUGCCUCUUUCCCAAUAUCCUUCCUCUGCCCAGGUCGGGAGCUACCACCUUAGUACUUCAGAUGCUGGCAGAGAGAAACAGGUUUUUCCAGCUGCGUUCCACCUGGUGAUGGUAGCUGCCAGAAAAAUCAGCCCCUCGCAAUGUUUUCCUUGGUGGGCCAGGGCUGGGGCUGGGAAAGUUUCCCUUACCACCUAUGCUGCAAACAAACUCAUAUUUUUCUCUUUUCUCCAAUGAUGUGCCAGAUCUCCCUUCAGGAAGGAUGGACUUCAGCAAGUUCCAUAUGUGAUUACCUGUGAGGGCAGCAUUCACCUGUUUUUUGCCCUACUGCAGUGAGAGGGGUCUAGGCAGUUUCAUAGGCUCUGCUGGUUCUUGCCUGUAUUGAGAUUUAUCUGUGUCUUACCAGUUACAGUGGUGGGUGAGACUCCUCUUGGAGUCUUUUUUUUUUUUUUUCUUGGAGUCUUUUAGAAGACCCACCAAGGCACUUUUGUUCAGGUGGGGAUGUCUAAUCCAUGGGGUGAAAAAGAGGGAUUAAAAGCAGGAAUGUCUUUCGCUACCAUGUCACCCCCUUCACUCCUGAAUGUUUAUGCUCUUCUACUCCUCAAACAUUGCCUAUGAAGUAUUCCUGUAGGCACUGGAGAGUGAAUGCAAAACCCAGAAGUAUCUGGGCUGGGAGGGGGUGGGUCACUAUGAACUUAAAAUUCCUUUAGAAGAGUCUGAUGUUUGUUUUAAAUUACUCAAAUACUUUAUUCUACUAUACAUAUUUGUAUUUGUAUAUUUUCCUAUCUCAUACAAAUCAAAUUCUCUAGAGAAAUGUGUUAAUUCUAGGCCUCGCAUAUUUCAGUUUGAACCUUUUCUCCUCUCAAUCCAUCCUGCAUACCCCAAUCUUUUUAAGUCACUCUAAAAUACUGGGAUGGCCAAAAAGGUUGUUCAGGUUUUUCCAUAUGAUGGUAUAGAAAAACCUGAACAAACUUUUUGGCCAAUCCAAUAUUUGCUCUGCUAUGUCAUUCUUCUACUCAAAUCCCCCAUGUCUAGCCAUUGGAUAAGGUCCUGCCUUAGAAUGCCAUCUCCCUGGACAAGUCAUAAGUCAUGUGCAGUCUUCUAUAAUGUGGCCCAAACCUCUCUUCUUUAAAACCUAACUUUAUUCCUCAGCCUAAACUUUCUACUCCAGUCUGUCUGGCCUACACACCAUUCCCCUAAAAUAUUCACUGUGUAACUACCUGGGUCAUUCAAUACCCCAUACUGGGAAUGGUGGGGUUACAGGAGAUACCAAGAAGAAUGAGAUAUGGUUAUGGACUCUCCUACCCUUUCUCUCCACCUAUUUAAUCUCAACCCAUCCUUCCAGGCCCAAGAUAACUUUCACCACUUCCAUCAAGCCCUUCCUGGUAAUUCAAACCCACAUUUUAUCUACCCUGCUAUAUACCCUAUUUCAGUCCUCCUUCAGAAAAGAGUGCACACUCCCAUCUGUUUCCUUACUGACCACUUACACCUUAACCCUCUGCAGCCAGGUUUUACUUUCCACACUUUUUUCAAAAUGCUCCAGGGUGAUGUGACUGCCCCUGGGGGGCAAAUCCAGUGGCCUUUUCCCAGUGCUCAUCCUCACUUCAGUGUCUGACACUACAGACCACUUCUUGACACCUCUCCUCCCUUGUACCCCAAAACACUACAUUGUCAAGGUUCUCUCAUUUUUCUGAGAAUUCCUUCUUUCCUCUUCUCCUAAAUGGAGGUGUGUUCUCUGUCCUCCCAUUUCUCCAUCCUCUCUCCUUCAGGGUUUUAAACAAGGAUCCAGAUGGAGACUCCUCAGUCUGUAUCUCUAGCUCCAACCUCACCUGAAUUCUCUCCUUUUCAAACUGCCCAGUCAGUAUCUAGAUUGGGUUGAUUACAGCAACACAUAUUAAACCCUGUAAUGCAUUUUAGUAUAAAGACCAUUCACUCCAAGUCCUUACAACCCUUUCUAUGUGAAAGAAGUGAACAGAAAAACCAAUCUCGAAGAAAUCUGAAGAGCUCCUCUCUAUUGGAAAAGAUCCUUUAACCUCUCAAGUUCCACAGGAAAUAAUCACAAUAAUCAUUUUACUCCUCUUGCCACUUUGUGAUUUCCACACAUAAAAAGGAGGUGUCCAGCCCCUUCUGCCGAGAGAACACCAUUCAGCCUUCAAGUUUCCCCAGACAGCUCUGCUUCCGUCUCCAGGGAGUGUUACACUCCAGUCUGUGCUAACUUCAUAAUACAACCUCCUUCCUCUCAGCACCCAACUCCUGUUAGCCCUUCAAUGAUCUUGUUUCCAGAGCUGUGAAUAAACCACCUCUGCCCCAGCGACCAGAGUCAUCUGAUAGGAGAAAGAGAAGAUUUUCUUCUAUAGGAGGCAAAAUCAAGUCCACAAUUUAAAAAAAAAAGAAAAGGGGAUCUUCCUGGCCCAGGGAUUGAACCCAAGUCUCCUGCAUUCCAGAAGGCAGGCAGAAGGACUGGUAAUUGUUGGACUCCCACCAGGCCAUCCUUCGAGAAACCAGAGGGGAGAGGAAUUAACUGAGCCUAUCACCAUUUCCCUCGAAGCACAUCCUGGGCUGUGAUUCACAAACGCCAAGAGAAGGUUGGAGACCACAGGCAUGGACACUCAUCUAUAUCCUGCCAAUGGAACCACCUACCACAGACUGGACCUGUACUCACUGAUCAAACACAAAACUCCAAAUGUUAAUACAACUGGGAAAUUUUUCCUGGCAGCUGGACUGCAUGAAAAAAUAUAUAUAAUUUUUUUUGGCAGUUGGACUGACUGAAAAAUAUAAUUAUCUUUCUGGAAAA